rnacentral:lncRNA from 1 species
UGUGUAGAGAAUGAGAAUAUUUAUGAUCUACCAUCUUAGUAAAUUCCAAGUAUACAUUGUACAAAUAUAUGUACAUACAAAUAAUACAUUAUUAUUAACUAUGGUCAUAGACCUCUAGGUCAUUUGUAUGUCCUCUUUGGAAAAAUGUCUAUUCAGAUCCUUUGCAUUUUUAAAUUGGGUUAUUUGCUUUUUUUUUUUUUUUUUGGCUCUUGACUUGUAUGAGUUCCCUAUGUAUUUUGGACAUUAGCCCCUUAUGUGAUAUAGGAUUUGCAAAUGUUUCCCCUCAUUUUGUCUCAGGUUGUUUCCACUCUGUCAAUUGUUUCCUACACAGAAGCUUUUUUAGUUUGAUGCAAUCCCAUUUCUCUAUUUUUGCUUUCCUUGCCUGUGCUUCUAGUGUCACAUCCAAAAAUCAUUGCCAAGACCA